UUGGCAUCAAUACCUUUGGUCAAAUUCCUCGUAAAAUUGCCAAAUAUCUGAACCUUCCUAAUGCAGAUCAGUUCACUGGUCAUUCAUUUCGCAGAACGUCUGCUACAAUCCUUGCAGAUAGUGGCGCAGACAUUCGAACAUUGAAAAGACAUGGUGACUGGAAAAGCGAUGCUGUUGCGGAAGGCUGCCAGAGAAUCAGGGAUUUGGCAUCUUCAUCAACUAUCUCAGUAUCUGGAAUUACUAGUGCAUCAUCGACUACAAAUGAAUGUGUUCUUCAAUCUAGUUCAGGCAUUUCAAUUUCCGGAAAUUCAAAUUGUACUAUUACUAUUAACAUUAAUAAAUAAUAUAUCAACAAU